GUGGGGGAUUAGUGGCGAACGGGUGAGUAACACGUGGGCAAUCUGCCCUGCACUCUGGGACAAGCCCUGGAAACGGGGUCUAAUACCGGAUACGACCACUGACCGCAUGGUUGGUGGUGGAAAGCUCCGGCGGUGCAGGAUGAGCCCGCGGCCUAUCAGCUUGUUGGUGGGGUGAUGGCCUACCAAGGCGACGACGGGUAGCCGGCCUGAGAGGGCGACCGGCCACACUGGGACUGAGACACGGCCCAGACUCCUACGGGAGGCAGCAGUGGGGAAUAUUGCACAAUGGGCGAAAGCCUGAUGCAGCGACGCCGCGUGAGGGAUGACGGCCUUCGGGUUGUAAACCUCUUUCAGCAGGGAAGAAGCGAAAGUGACGGUACCUGCAGAAGAAGCGCCGGCUAACUACGUGCCAGCAGCCGCGGUAAUACGUAGGGCGCGAGCGUUGUCCGGAAUUAUUGGGCGUAAAGAGCUCGUAGGCGGCUUGUCACGUCGGAUGUGAAAGCCCGGGGCUUAACCCCGGGUCUGCAUUCGAUACGGGCAGGCUAGAGUUCGGUAGGGGAGAUCGGAAUUCCUGGUGUAGCGGUGAAAUGCGCAGAUAUCAGGAGGAACACCGGUGGCGAAGGCGGAUCUCUGGGCCGAUACUGACGCUGAGG
rnacentral:rRNA from 1 species